rnacentral:rRNA from 1 species
UACGUAGGGUGCGAGCGUUAAUCGGAAUACUGGGCGUAAAGCGUGCGCAGGCGGUUUGUUAAGACAGAUGUGAAAUCCCCGGGCUUAACCUGGGAACUGCAUUUGUGACUGGCAAGCUAGAGUAUGGCAGAGGGGGGUAGAAUUCCACGUGUAGCAGUGAAAUGCGUAGAGAUGUGGAGGAAUACCGAUGGCGAAGGCAGCCCCCUGGGCCAAUACUGACGCUCAUGCACGAAAGCGUGGGGAGCAAACAGGAUUACGAA